AAUUACUAUGAUGCAAACAACAGAACUUUCCAUUUCUGGUUGUUGUUAGAUCAUGGGUCAAGUCAUGUAAAGAGCUUUUAGUGUGUGCUCAGAAGCCUUUUCUCUACAGAUGAGGUUUUCAGCAGUUGAUCCACACACUGUUAAAAUCAGUUGCAUGUUGGCUCCAUGCUUGGAGCUUGAUUGUUCCCAUCGCUGUUUUCUGGUGAAUGCUUUCUGCAAGCCCACAGGCCCAAAACAUCUUUGCUUCGAUGUGUCUGUAUGUGCAAGAUAAAUACCGAGCCCCAGAAGUGACAGAGUGAAGGUUUGAAAAGAACCAGAAAUGGCUGCGAUGAGACAGGAACUUCUCUGCAAGUUGCAAAGGACCCAGUUCAUCCCUGAUAAUCCUGUGCUUUUCAAAACUGCCUACAAAUAGAAGUGAGGUCCAAAA